AGGAGGAGGGACCUGCUCUUGUCGUGAGCUACGUGCAGAGUUCAGAUUUACCACCAAAUAUCUCAAUCGACCAUCCCAUGAAGACGCAUUAAGAGCGCGCACAUCUCACUAUUCUCAAGCGAUCUGGAGAGCGAAUUUUCUUUCUGUUUUACGAGCAUCAAUGAACUUACAGCCUGCGAUGCUUGUGUUUAUACGAUCAUUGAUUUGUUAAUAAUGCGUACGGAUUCGUGCACAUUUAAAGGCUUGAUUUGAUUUAUUUAUCGUCGGUUGUUAGAAGAAAGUAGAAGUCGUGUUAUAUUGCGGAGGCACAGAAUUUGAGCUCUUUCAUCUGCUUGGGUUUGUGAUCGAGCAGGAGGGAGGAGUGGCGAAGACACGGCUGGUUAUCCAUGACCUCAGAUUUACAGCAUUACAGUUUCAGGAUGCCAAAUAUAGGGUUCCAGAACCUUCCCCUGAAUAUCUACAUCGUGGUCUUCGGGACGGCCAUUUUCGUCUUCAUCCUCAGCCUACUCUUCUGCUGUUACCUGAUUCGGUAAGACCACCUGACUCUUCUAUGUGUGCGGCAGCAGAAUGUGUUUGAACAAGCUUUAAAAUGCCAUACAUUUGCUUAUUUAUUCUCUUCUGUAAAUUACACAGAUUAUACAGAAAGUCUUGAUUUAAUCCCUAAACAUACAGGCUACAAAAUGGAACUGUCGUAAUCAAACAGCUAACACACAUUUAGGUGUAAUUUGCCUCAUGAUUUGUUUGGAAGCUGAUGGAAAAUGAAACUCACUCAGUAUGAACAAGUGGGUGUAGUUGGAGUGUGUGGUGUAGAGUGUUGCUGACAGGACCAAUGUGCGUCAUUAAAGUCACAGUUACACCACAAAUAUAAAAGUAACAUAAUUAUCUAUGGACCUCAUGUGCUGACACCUAACUGCCUUAGAUUAUACCACAAAUGUGUGGACUGGUGUUCAUCUAGACUACUGCAUAUCCACCGUGCUCAAAGGUCAAAUAGAAAAUGGAAGGGAGUUUAAAAGACUUCUGUGAGAGGAUAGAGGAGAGCUGACAGAUGGUGAUGGAACGGAGAAGUUCUCUUUCAUCUUCAUACCGAGUUCAUACCAUGUGAGGCAGCUUUUAUCAUGCUUACUUUGAAGACUGAACCAACUCUGAAUUUCAGAGCCAUACCUUAGUUGUUAGUGGCUGUCAAAUACAGAAGUAGAGAUAAAUCAGCAAGUUUUAUUCAUUUAUAGUUUUGUUAAGUACAGAGGAGCUAAUCCUACACAUUAACACGGUUUGUUGUUGUUUGGUUCAAAUAGAGCAGUUCAGUUUCAAGAAUGGGUUACCUCUGAAAUUUUGGGAAGGAAAAUUUCUUAUGCAUUGUGUGUUCAGCUGAAUAUAGUCCUAAACUUUUAAAAUUAAAAUAAGUGAUGAUCAAGACAACAAGGCAAUUAAUUGUAUGGCAUUUUGAAUCAUGAUUACUUGUCCCUGAAAUGGAAUUGUUGCUUUAGAUAGUUUUUGUUCAUGCUUGAUGCACUAACAAAGCUUUUCAUGAAGAGUGAGAAGGUCAAACAGCACAGUUUGGAGAAGCUAAGAAAACUGCUGACUUGAUAAUCUGAAUUGACGACAGAAAUCACUUAGCUACCUGAACCUUGCAGUGAAAAAAAAAAAAAAAAAAAAAAAAAAAC